rnacentral:rRNA from 1 species
AACGUAGGAGACAAACGUUAUCCGGAGUUACUGGGCGUAAAGGGCGUGUAGGCGGUUUGUUAAGUCUGGCGUGAAAGCUCUCGGCUAAACCGGGAGAGGUCGUUGGAUACUGGCAAACUAGAGGACGGUAGAGGCGUGUGGAAUUCCGGGUGUAGUGGUGGAAUGCGUAGAGAUCCGGAGGAACACCAGCGGCGAAGGCGGCAUCCUGGACUGGUCCUGACACUCAGGAGCGAAAGCGUGGGGAGCGAACG